UAACCAGCUCUUUGUGCAGUGUCCUU
rnacentral:piRNA from 1 species